AGUAGGCUCAGUGAGAGACUCUGCAUGGAAAGAUCUUCCAUCACAGACUCGAACAGGAACAAAAUUUGACCUCACAGGAUGAAGACAGAUCAGGGAAAACAAACAUUUAGGAAGAAGUCUGUCUUGUGGAGAAGAAGGACAAAGGAACACGUAUCGCUGGCGGGACUGACCUUUUGCAAGUUUGAUAGACACCAGCCUUAAGCCUCUGAGAGCACUUCUCCACCAUCCCCUCCCCAAGGCUGUCUGCUAUGUACUGGCUUACUUUCCUCCUUUAAAACACAACACCUUCUUUAAGUCAGUCUAAAGAUGUUUGCCAGCUUUGCAGUAAACUUGCUAGAUGGCAUUUCUCUUGUUAUACCGUGUUAUGUCUUGUAAUGUUUGAAAUUUGUUUUCUGGUAUAAAAAUAAAUAUGUGUGCAUGCA